CCAACUAUUGGACAUUCCCUUCAUUAUAGCAAGAAAAAACACAUUUGCGACAGUUAAGCUAAUUCUUUCAUAUGACUCAAAUUUCAUUGAAUCCUUACAAUAUACUAACGUUACAUAACUAAAAGUUUUUUCAUCAUUGAUGUGCACUCUAUAAUUAAAAUGUUUAUUUGAUUAUUUUAAAUUACUUCAAAUGAUAAUUCUAAAUGUUCAGAUGCUCUUACUAAACAUCUGUUCGAUUUAACCACCUCACAGAUAUUAUCAUUGGUUGUUAAUAAAAAGUAGUUUUUUUGUUUUUCAUUUCGUGUUGAUGUGUCAGAGCAAGGCUGUUUUUCAUUGUGAGAAAUAAAAUAUGAAAUGGCGCUCCCUGCCGCCCCAGGGUCGAGCUCAUUCUUGGUAGCGAUGGCCAAUCGCCUUGCUGCCUGCUACCAAGAAUCAACCAAAAAUUGAAGGCCCUGGCCAAUCAGUGCUGGCAUCACUACCAAGAUUCGCUGCGGGGACUACCAAGAAUUAACCAAUAGAUAGCGCCACUGGGGGGCGCUUACCUAUUGCCUCAUUUGACAGUGGCUUUUCGAAGGUAAGGUGUCUCUGCGAGUUUUAGCUAAAUAAGUUGCCAAACGCAUAAAAACAAGUUUGUUUGUUGUUGUUUUAAAAAGGUAAUAUUUAACUACAGAAUUAAAAGAGCUAGCGAUGUGAUGUGUGCGGGUACGUGUUUUGAAUGAAAUCGAGUUUGACCGCAAUGGUUAGGUAGCGUUAUUAGACAACCCCGUUAGCUGUCAGUUCCCGUCGUUGCCGUAUAAACUUUGGAUUUUCUUUUUUAUCGUUUUGGAUACUCCGUGCGAAUAUGAACAUUUGUCACAGUGGUGUUGCUGUAAAGUCAAUUUAACCUGACAUUUUUGGUGGCCGGUGUGACGUUACCGACGGCUUUAUAACGCUAGGUUUACUUCGUCCUGUUACCUGUCAGGUCCCGGCGUCACCGUAUAAACUUUGGAUUUUCUUUUGUCGUUUUGGAUACUCCGUGCUAAUAUGAACGUUUGUCACAGUGCUAAUAUGAACGUUUGUCACAGUGGUGUUGCUGUAAAGUCAAUUUAACCCGACAUUUUUGGUGGCCGGUGUGACGUUACCGACAGCUUUAUAACGCUAGGUUUACUUCAUCCUGUUACAUGUCAGGUCUCGUCGUCGCCGUAUAAACUUUGGAUUUUCUCGUAAGGCGUCUUGGGUAAUGCACGGUUUGUCACAUUGUUAAUGAUGUACAGUCUAUUUAACCUUCACAUGUUUGGAAUGAACAGCUUGUGGCCGAUGUGACAUCGGUGACUGCCUAAUAACGCUACGGUUACUGAGUUUAUUACGAAGGAGUGAGGGAGCAAAUAAGAUAUCAGAUUAGUGGAAAGUACAAAUUAGGCAUGUAUUUAUUGCAUUUUGCGAUAUCAGUGUUGUGCUUUAGAGGGAAAAUCUUUUUUUCCUCAGCUACAUUGACUUAGUAGCUUUAGUUAGUGUUGGCAGUUACUCUGCAGAUUGAUGUGAAUGUUAUAGUAGCAUACAUAGACUGAGCAUAAUAUACUGUAAGACAAAGCUUAAGAGAUGAUUCUUGACUGAAUAAAACGGGGAGUAAGAUAAUGUACACAGCUGCCUUAAGCAAUGUGUUACCAAAUGUCUUGUCAAUAUCAUCUGUCCUUGCUGUGAUAUUUACAUUUUUUCAGUUUUCUUUUAUUUUUUUAAAACCUACAUGGAACCUCGCUUCCGGAGGCCAGCUGACGGCAGUCUCAACCUCUCAGACUCACCUGAAGCAGCCAAAGAGUGCAAAACCGAGACAAGCCAUGGCAGCGCCCCUUGUCCCCAGAAGCAGUGCUGGAGAGGGCCAAAAAAGCAUUGGUCCAACCCCACGGAGGCACACAAAAUCGAGUACACCUCCUGGGUUUCUUUGAAAUUCAGUUUGGUGUGUUUUGUGGCCUGUCAUUUAGGUGGGUGGCUGAAAAUGCGCUGGGGUAUGCUGCUUACCUGGUGGCAACUAUGAAGAGGGACCCCACAGGAGGCAGCAAAGACUCCAGAGAGCAUGACCAGAACAAGACGUGUUUUAGGGAGUACAUUGAGUUGUUUCCUUCUGGCAGAAUUGCUAUUGCCAUGAAGGAAGAGCAGUAUGCUGGAAAAACACGGCAGCACGCUGCCACCACCUCCCAGCCCACUGCCACUUCUCAGCCCACCGCCACCUCCCAGCCCGCUGCCACCACCACCACCACCCAGCAUGUUGCCACUUCCACCCAGAACGUUGCCACCUCCUCUCUCUGCUCCUUGUUGGUCGGAAAGCUGCCGAACCAGCAAAGUUUGUCCAAAGCUAUUAAAAGGCUGGUUUCCCCUGUCAAAGUCAAACCUUCUUUGACCCAGGCACGCACACGGCAGUCCACCACUGAGGCUCCAGAACCCUCGUGCUCAUCCACUCAACCCUCUGUGUCCACUGAGCUGGAUGACAGCACAUUGUUCGCAGAGGCAAUGAAGUUUGAGGAGCACAGCAGAUCUGUCUUCCAGCUGGCUGGAUACACACCUUGCCUGAAGUGGAUUUCCAAAGCGCUGUUCAGGUGGACAGCACAGGGGCACCCGGAGCUGGACUUCAGCAGAGUUAACAGGCUUUGGUGGUAUCCACCACAGGUGCCACUGAGGACCAGUACUCUUCCACCACUGGAGAACUACUUUGGCCAGCCCCUGCUGCUCUGGAUGCCACGCAAGGUGUGGCAGGUGCAACUGACAAGUCCUCAUUCAAACUGCAGUGGUCAUCUGACCUCAUCUGGCCUGCAUCAGAAGAUCAGGCAGGUUGUCAAAAUAGGGACAAUGUACUUUUUAGCGUCAGAGUAUCUGUCCUGCAGAGGAUGCAAAUGCAAGGUCAUCAGCUGGAGCCACGGCAUCGUGUCCCAGCUUGAUAUUGGUCACAGAGUGCAGUUCCCUUGCAUUCUGACUUCAAAACUUGCUUGUGACAUCGAGGUAGUGAGUUUGAUGCGUCAGCGAAGACUAGGAAACAGCAGCUGCCAGAUCCAGAGGAAGUUACAGGAGCGUCAUGCUGAGGUCUGGCUGCAGAAGACUGUCCAGUACUUGACAGAAUGCAAGGGGAUUUCCAGUGCCGUCACCUCUGGUCUGAUACUGCCUGUGACGGUCCAUCCACCACCUGCAAUGCUUCCUGUCUCCAAACGCCGGUGGUUGAUGCAGGUCUAUGCUCAGGACGUCCUCCAAAGACUUGACGAAAUCAAGGCCAGUAUUACAUCACAAUUUGGUCGAAUCCUGAAAAUGGAUUCUACUAAAAAGGUGGUACGGAAACUCGCUGGACGCAGCUAUGGUACUGCUGCCUGGGCAACCAACAUUGGAAAUGAGUAUGGACAGGUCAUCAUGACUGUGCUCACAGCCAAUGAAGGUUUUGGUCUUGAGCGGAUGACUGCAGGCCUCAUGAAGCGCUUUAGAGAGGCUGGGGUGGUGCCACCUGAAGUGCUGUAUGUCGACAGGGACUGUUGUGGCAACUCUCCUAUGAGGAGGAUGUUUGCAGAGUGGCAGCAAAUGAGCAUCCGCUUGGACAUAUGGCACUUUAUGCGGAGGUUAGCUGUGGGUUGUACAACUGACUCUCACCAGUUGUAUUCCACCUUCAUGAGACGCCUCAAUCACUGUAUUUUCAUGUGGGACCAAGAUGACCUGACGGCACUGAAAGAGGCAAAGCGAGCAGAGCUGGAGGCUGCCUUGAAACCAGCAUCUGAGGCAGAUGUGCUGCGUUCUGUUAGCCAAAGAGGACGUCUUGCCGGUGGGGUUCUGGGGGGCUCCGGGAGGAAAGGAGCAGCUGGUUGUGCUGUGGGUUCCAGUGAUCGGGGAGGGAAGCAGGUCGGGGGUUCCAGGGAGGGGUCCAGGCAGAAUGGGGGAUCCAGAUGGGGGGAAACCGGUGCCGUAUGGGUUGGGGAAGACGGACGAGGAUUCUGGGCGGCGGAGGUCCCGGACAGCUGGGUCUAGGUGAAGGUAGGAGAAAAACAACGUAAGAAAAUGCCAAAAACUUAACAGACUUACUGGAGGCUAGAGAGCAAACUAACUGUGAAGUCUUGUUCAACAGUCUGGCAGGGAGUGGAAGGAUGAGCCGGUUCUUAUUGCAGUGGAGUGUAAUCAGGUCGAUGUCCUUCAGCUGUCCAGGACCCACGGGGAAGGCUGAUUACCUGAGUGGAGGCAGGUGUGAGCCCGCACUCCACUCAGGUGUCGCACUGGGGAAGGAAGUAAAGGCAGAGGAGCGGAUGGGAGACAGAGGAGACAGAAACCGAGGGACAGAGAGAGAGAGGGGAGCAUGAGUGGAAGAGAGGAGCAUGAGAGGGAGAGGAGCAGGAGAGGGAGAGGAAACAGAAGGGGAAAAGGGGUAUUUGGGAUGUCAGGUGGGAAAGAUGGGGGUGAGGAGGGGGCCCUGACACACCGUUUGCCAACUUUCCGCUGCGCCAGAGGUUCCACGUCCCUGGAGUCAUUUCACUUACACCUGAACCGAUUCAUCCCAGGCACACUAGCCAGUGACACCUUUUUCCAGGCUUAUCUGCUGGAUGGACUCGCGAGGUGUAAUGAGGACCGGGCUCUGGCAGCAACAGCAGAUGAGCAGCAGCCGCACAGCUAUGACCACCUACUCCGCUAUACUGCCACCGCCUUAGCAGAGGAUGUCCUUGGCAGAAAGAUUGUUCCGUAUGAAGGGCCAAGGAAAUACACAGGGGAGCUUAUUGGAGUGGAUUAUCUUUAUGACCAAACUGGCCGAGUUUUGCAGGACUAUAAGAUGGCCAUUGAAGAGUCGGAGACCAAUGAUGUGGAGAUGCAGCUCCUGUGGACCACUUAACAGCAGAAACCGAGUCCACUUCACAUGAUGUUCAGCAGGCGCUCUCCGGUCACAGGAGCAAGCAAUUUUAAAACAGGGUAUCAAAGCUCCAGACGCACCCAUGACAGGACCUGAGAGGCUUCCUGCAGCGAUGCAGAAAAGCCCAGCUCUGUAUCCUGGCAGUUCAGCUCAGCCUCACCUCUUCAUUUUGCCUCCAAACACGGCUGAGGAGGCUAAGCUCAAGGGGAGAUUCCAGCCUCAGGCCAUCUCCCAGGCUCCUCCACUACAGCAGGCACUUCCUAUGAUUGCACUGGCACCUUCCACCACUCUCCCCUUCAUUGUACCAUCUCUGCCGCAUCCUACAGUGUCUGGACCCUCACAGAUGAUGACUGCACCUGGAACCUCACAGACGAUUUUCCUACCUCCAGCUUUUCCACCAUCAACUCCAGUUCCUUAUACCACUCAGCAAUAUAGGAAGAGGAAACUGGAAAGGGAGCGCACUGGCAUUGUCAAAAGGAAAUAUGUCAAGAAGACAGAUAUGAUCCUUUGUAAAAAAAGUGCAACAAAGAGAGAAAGCCACCAUCCCACCUGCAGUACUUCGGGAACUGGUACUGCAAGGAGUCUGAGAGCCAGUCGUAUGGAGAAUGGAGGGCUGUGCUGGAGGCUCGUGGUUAUGGGAGAAAAAAGACGGGGAGUGACAACCCUCCAUCUCCCUCAAGGUUUUCUUUUGUAGUUUUAUUGUGUGUAUUUAUUAUUAUUUAUCAUUAUUUAUUAUGUAUAUUAUUUUUGAGAAAACGCUCUUACCUCUUGAUUUUGUGUUUUUUGUUUGGCUGGAUUUUUUUCACAUGUGCAGAGUUACAAUGGUAGUGGGGUGUCCUAAUAGUACUUUGUUUCAUUUUUUUUUUUUUGUUCAGUUUGGUUUUUGUCUUGAACUUUAUUUCAUUUUAUUUUCAGCCUUUGCACUGUGUCUACACACAUCGGUUGAACUGACUGCUCUUGAGUGUGAUCUGAUCUUAAUGAGAACAGUAGCACUAGUAAUCAUAAUAACAAUAGUAACAAUAAUAAUAAUAAUAAUAAUAAUAAUAUCAAUUAAAAUAAUAAUGGUAAUGAUUAGGUUGAUAAAUAAUCAAAUAUGUUAAUAUAAUUA